AUGAGAGCCGUUCCCUCACUGUUUCCAGGAUGGCUUCGCAGGCCACAUGAAACCACUUUGCGGGCCGCAUCUGGCCCCCGGGCCUUGUGUUUGACAUGUCUGUACUAGAUGGACAAAAAGUGGGCUCUGGCAUAUUACAACUUCCCACCUUCUUAUGAUUCAUAACGUUAAGGAUGCGUAAAGCUUUAGCACUCUCACGCAGACCCAAAACAGUCUGGUCAGAAGUGUCAGGAGGGGACAAAAGAGUGUUGUGAAUUUACAGAGGUCUAAAAUACCACAAGGAUUCUGAUAGCUGAGAACAAGACUGCAAACACACUGCAAUCCAAAACAAUGGUGAAACAGAAGGGAAAGCUGUUCCAAGUCUUUUGUAGAACAGGAGCUAGGAGGUCACCUAGUGGAGUACCAAAGUAACUUGACAGAAUUCCCCUCCUCUACAUGAAGAGCAAGGCUCUCGUUUCCUUAUGGCAUAUCUGGGAAAGCAGAAAAUAAGCAGAAGUUAAAUUCCUUUUUUAACCUUCUCUUUGAUGGGUUCUCUAUACAUUCUAAUUCAGGGGUAUCAAACUUGCCACGUCAUGUGAGGACGUAUCACCACUUUCCCCCCAUUGCCGAAGCUGGGGGUGGGCAUGGUUUCGGCAUGACACAUCCGACCCAUGGGCCGGCAGUUUGACACCCCUAUUCUAAUUAGUGACUCUACUAGAAUGUAGAGUGGGGGUUCUUUUUUUCUCCAAUGUAAAUGUUUUUAGCAAGUUGAAGUAAAUGUAUUUAGAAGCCCGUAAAUUACCCACCUUCCCAAGGAUUACCACCUUGAUGUGAUGGGAGAACUCAAAUGCUUCAGUAAUUCUGAGAACAACAGGCAGAGGAACCUAGAUCUCCUUUUUUCUACAGGUGUUGCAAUGUCAUAGGCAUGUGUAAAACAGGAGACGCUUGCAUCACAACACAGCUCUUGUCCCCAGUAAACAGGUGCACUCCAUGCCAUGUUUUCCCAGGCUGAUCAUCCUCAGCUGCUUCUCAUGGUUAGAAUAGAAUAGAAUAGAAUAGAAUAGAAUAGAAUAGAAUAGAAUAGAAGCUGGAAGGGACCUUGGAGGUCUUCUAGAUCAGGAGUGUCAAACUGCCAGCCCACAGGCCGGAUGCGUCACGCCAAAACUGCGCCCACCCAUGACGGCAAUGGGGAAAAAAAUCACGAUACGUCGAGACAUGUCACAUGACAUUGGGAGUUUGACACCCUUGUUCUAGAUGUAUGGAAGGGAGUACCUAGUGUUUCCAUUGGUCUUCCUGGCUUUAAAUGUUGGGAAUUACAAUCCAACUUAAUCUGAAGACCAUCAGCUUGAUUCAGAAUAUUAAAAAAAAUAUCCAGUUAAGUAAAAUACUCUCUCAAGUGUUAAUUAACUUCUGGUGCUGGUGAAGCAUUUUGAUAGAGGUUCAAGAGAUGUGAAUGAAAUAUCUGAAAGCAUUAGCCAAACAUGGCUACCUUGCUUCCCGUGCAUAAAGCUAGCAUUUCUGAGCUGAAACAAUCAUUCUCACAUUGUUUCUGGUUCAGUUCCUGCUACGUCCCCAGAAGAGAAAGGACACGAAAAACAAAAGAGACAGCACAGUGUACUUUGAAGCACCAUUUUUACUGUAGAAGAAUGGCAGAGUGGGAUAAUCUGCUACAAUUUCAAAACCAAAAAGGGCGGGGGGGGGGAGAAAUCCACUUUAAAAUAAAGACAAUCCGAUUUUGCUCCCUUCAUCCUCAUUGAAAACAUAAUUGCACCACCCAAGGCUGCCCGAAACGUACAAACAUUAAAACUGGGAAACGCGGGCUGCGUGUGUGUAAUGCUGAAACAGAGAAACAGGGAAACAUCCUGCAAGAUAAACUGAAAAAAAAAAAAGAGUGGCACCCAUUCUCGUGAGGCCACUGAGACGCUGAUUCAAACCAGUAAUACCAGACAGGAGUUAGAACACUCUGCACCUCCUCUUUUCAGCAACUGCCAAACGGUGGUCCUUGGAAAUAAUGUUUUUGAGAAUCCAAGUAACCAAUGGCCAGAGGAAAUACGAGAUAAUGUUGUGCCGACGUUUAUGCAGUAUAUUGUACAAACACCUUGUACAACCCAAAUUCAAAACGGCAGAGGAGAUCCAUGGCAAAAGCUAGCUUCCGUGAAAGGAGACCAGGUUUGUGCUUGGCAAUGUAGAAGAGUUCAGAGGAACCACAUGCAACUUAUGGAGUCCGGCUGGCAUCUACCUGCUGGACAGAUAACUUAUAUUAGGGAACAAUGCAUCAAAAGCACAAAGGAAUAAAGGAGAGAUGGAUGGUAUCUGCUACAAAAAUCAAUACCCCCUUUGCAGUUUCUGUGUCCUUCAGGCGUAAAAAGGAAACAAUUCAAAGUGCUUAGCAUAUGGAGUUUGGUAGAAAGGAAAGCCAGGAUACUGUGAUUCUCAAGUGCCUUGUGGUUAACAACUGCUUGUCUAGCAAUAUGGUCAGAGACCUCUUCCCUUCCAGGCACUGAUGUAGCAGCAAUACCCUGUCCACAGUGAUAGGAACAAAAACAAGAGAGGGGACAACGCAAGAGUGGCAACUCCAGGGGACUCUGUGGAGGACACAACCAUGCCGUUCUGACUAAGAGCACUGAUUUUAGUACUUUUGUUUUUUUUAAUCUGCAGGGCACAAAAAUUCUGUCAAUUCUUUUCAAGCUAGCCUGCACGACAGAGGUGAAUAACCCAUGUCUUUGGGUUGUUCCCCAUUUUACUAAACUGCAUUGUCAUAUGUACCAACUAGACAUGCCCCCCCCCAGGAGAAGCACCUGAACAGACCUUGGUUCUGGAAUCAAGAUAGAGACAGGGGAAAUGUAUUUCAAACAAAGCCAAAAGAAGCUCGGCUUGGAAGUCAUUCUCAUGUCUUGUUAAGUCUGCGGUUCAAUUGAAGGGCCCAGCUCCUGCCUUUUACUGAAAAUCCCGGCUCUUCUCAAUAAAGGAGAAAACUCUUAAAUUUACAUUCUCCCCAAAAAGUGCCACACCAAGCUAAUUAAGGGAGAAGGAUUAGGCAAUCACAUUUAUCUGUAGUUCAGCCUCUGCUACUCCUCAGAUGUGUUGGGCUUCAACUCUUGUUAUCUUCACUUUCCCAUGCUGGCUCAAGAUAGCAACAGUUAGUCCAAAACAUCAGCAGGCUGCCCAGGGUAACCAUCUAUCUUGUGACUGUUUUUCUCCUAUUCCAUAUCUUCCUAUAGCCCCCCCCCUUUUUUUUUUCACAGAAGCAGCACUUCUUCACAUUUAUCAUAUCCAGAGGCUACAUACAGUAUUACCAACCAGCAAACAGAGCAUAAACCAAGGAUGUCAAUGCAUCUGUUAAUGGACAACCGGGAGGCAACAAAAUGUGUAAUUCCUUAUUAAAGGAACAUAUCAACUUUGAAGCUGCUGAGAUGUUUCCCGGUUAUGGAUUUAUAAGUCAACAUUAAAUAGAGAAGAGCCGAAGUGGCACAAACUUAAGUUGCCCAGCCUGAAAUCUCGUCUCCAGAUCUUUUUUUAGAAUGCUGGAGACUGAAUCCAGGUGGGCUGCGAAGGAAUGGCUGCUGAACCUGCAAUAAAAAGGACACAAGGCAGAAAAACACCUGUUUGAAGAACAAAUGACAGGAAGUAAGGAUAAAUGAAACAAUAAUCAGGCAGGCAAGCUGAGUGCUUCAGGGUGAUCCUUCCAAAUAUCUCUGGAAAGGUAUCGGCAGAGGCUGCGUACCCAUCUGAAACGUCACUUUUCUUACUGCAUGAAGCUGGUCUUUAAACAAUUGGCACUGUGCAUCAGCGUUUAACACAAAACACUUUCUCUCUUAUAAAAUUCUUAUAGCAAAUGGAAAACAAUGUUAAAGCAUCUGAAGACAAGGCAAGACACAACCUCUGCCUUAUUCUUAAGUUGCUGCCAAAGCUGCCGGCGACUGAGGUGUCACAACUUUCGCCUCCAUUUCAGCUGAAGGACCCCUAAGAUCUUCUAAGCCAUUCUUCCAAUUCAAGACAGUGCACAAGCCACUUUGAAAACCGAUUUCUGCUAAUUGUACAGACUGUUUAACCGUCAACUGGGAAAUGGCUGCAUAAAAAGAUAAGAAAAUUGUAAAGGCACAAAAACUGUCUAGGUUUUAGCUUUAGAUGUUUCUUUAUAGGUUUAACUGCUGUGAUGCCAGCAUCUUCUGGGAUCAGGAUGCCUAACCACAAUGAGUUCAAAGAAUACUUUUUCAGAGUCACCCUUGCACUCUGGUUCUCUAAAUCCAGGUUGUUGGGGGGGGGGGUUGGGCCUGGUGCUAUUAUCUUUGCAGAUCAAUAUUGAGAAAUAAAAAUGGAGAACAUUGUUAUCGAAAUUACCUUCCCUUCAUCAGUCAAAGCUUAUAUUACUUCGCCCAGAAAGAGACAAGUCUAGGAAUCAAGUGAGUAAUUGCACAGUUUCAUUCCCUAUUAAACCAAUUGCUGGGAACAAAGAAAACACUCUCAUGAAGUACACUGCCUCCAGUGAAGUAGAAUAGCCUCUUCUAACCAAGUCAUUGGACUGACAAAAGCCAGCUCAAUGAUCUUCUGGGAUUGCUAAUUACUACAACCCUCCGAUGCUAACAACCAAACAACAAAGCCUACCGUGAAUAUGGUCUAGAGGCCUCAACCUUGAAUCAGUGACUGAGCAGCAAUUUGUUGUGUAGAUCCAAUCUCUUCCACAUAGGGGUUAAUUAGCAAUCUCCAUCUGGCAAAAAAGAUCUUCUCUACAGGAAGCCAGAACAACUUCUAAUCUCCUGUGAUUUCAAAAGCCCCCCAAUAUCUAUCGUUCAUGCAGUUUGAUCAACACUUCAAGUCUCACACCAACACAUGAAUGCCAGGCUAUUAGAACUCGACUUUCAGAGAUAGUAUAGACCAGGCAUGUCAAACAUGCGGCCCGCGGGCUGGAUGCGGCCUGCGCAGGCCACACCCACCUCAGCCUCGCAAAGGCAAAAAAAAGUCCCGAUACGUCACAAUAUGAUUUGAUACCCCUGUUGUAGACAGAGCAAUCCCCCCAGUGCAGAUUCUCCAGCUGGCAACAUAAAAGCGAAGAGAAAACCAACAGUGGUCUUAAUUGAUCUAUGAAAGGUAUUACCUGCAUUGCUAUAUCACCUUUUUUCUUGAGGGUGGAGCAUUCCUCUAAAAUGCUUUCGCCGCAUACUUUCACCUCAAAAGCCCAAAUGUUUUUUUCCCCCCUAAUGCUCUCUAUUCCUUAUUUCUUCCAGUGGUUUGGAAGGCAUCCUUCUGCAAAUGCAGAGACUACAUAGAAAAAAAGAACAGUCUCCUUCUUUCCACGCUGAUGUUAUGCCAAUGUAUCUUUAUGUUUUCAGAUAUUUUGUAUGUGCAUGUGAUAACACAAAGGAAGUUUAAAGGGUAGCAUGGAAAGAUCUAAACAAAAUGGUGUGUGUGUGGGGGGGAGCUGUAGCUAUUAUAUUUGGAUAACAAAUAUCCCAAACAGAAAGGUUCACAGAAAGCCAGGGCUAUUAUAAUUCAGAAAAGAAUUAAUUCUAGAAAAAUCUGGGACACAACACCUGGAAUCCAGUCAGGGUUGUAGAGACCCAAGCAGGACAGACUGAGGUUUCUCCUUGCCUUUUUCCUUAGCACAAAUAGGGAGAGUAAAAGUUCAGGAUCCUAGGAAGAAUGCCAGGUAGCUAAUUAAGGUUCUCUGCAAUGUAAGCAAAGAUUUGUCUCAACAGUGGCUCAGCAGAGAGCAGAUUUUUCAAAGUCGUGUUGCAGGUAGAACUGUCAUCAAAACAUCUAUGGAGGGCUCAGAGGAGGCUCCUCCCCCAUCUUAUGAAGCCUUGAAACUAACAAAUUAACCAGAUAUCCUCCAUGAAGCACAGCCUAUCUAUCAUUGUUCAAGGGAGCCUCCAGAACCCCAGUGAUGGGUUGAUCUCAUUUGAGGUUUGUUCCCCCAAAACAAACUACUUAUGGGGAGGUCUGGCAAGCAAAGAUCUUCCUUUCGUGAAUUCCCACAUAAUGAAGGCAGUCUAAUCCAAAGUGGCACAGAACAAAUAUUGUCUUUGGGGGUUAGAAAUGUACUCGUUAAAUCACCAGAGGGCUGGUUUUCUACAUAUUUACGGUGGAAUUUCUGAAUAUACGUCUACAACAAAAUUUCCGCAUGCGUACAGAAAAUUAGCACUUGAGGGAGAAAUUUUCAAUACUGUCUAUGAGAGGUAAUGCUUAAAAAUAUUACCAAUCACCAUCACCAUCUGACGUUCGCAAAUAGCCCGAGUCUGAUUUCUACUCCUCAAAUCCAUUCACCUUAUUUUGCGUAAGUUGGAACAGGGGUUAUUGGUUUUGGCUGGCCUAAAUAGUAAAGCCCAAUCAGUAUUUUACAACUUAUUUCAAAAUCAGUCAACAGGACAAACUUAAAACUGCACCGAGAAGCAGCAGAGAAAGUAACCGCUAUGCCUCCUAAUAGCAGGGCUACAUGAAAAAAAACCUGAAUCGGUUUUAAUUGUUGUGGUUUUGACAAUCUGAAUAUCACAACUUCAAAGGAAGACGGAAUCUCCCACGCUGAUCUCAAUACUUUCACUUAACUCUUACUGCCGUUGUUCUGAGUAGGGGAAAAAAAACCACAGUGGUAAAAUAAGAGUAGAUGUGGCACAAAGCAAAUAUAAAAUUACACUUCUGAAAUACUGAAAGAACGUAUGAACCUCCAAUGGUUUUAGGCCCGAAAUUUCUAUUAUAGUUUAGCUCCACAUUUGCAACACUAGACAAAAAAAAGAAAAA